AUUUAGCUGAUGAGUGCCGAAUAGGACAAAACGCGCGUCCUAGAU
rfam:Schistosoma rodhaini strain Burundi genome assembly, scaffold: SROB_scaffold0001404